rnacentral:rRNA from 2 species
UACGGGGGAUGCGAGCGUUAUCCGGAUUUAUUGGGUUUAAAGGGCGCGUAGGCGGGACGCCAAGUCAGCGGUAAAAGACUGCAGCUAAACUGUAGCACGCCGUUGAAACUGGCGACCUGGAGACGAGACGAGGGAGGCGGAACAAGUGAAGUAGCGGUGAAAUGCUUAGAUAUCACUUGGAACCCCGAUAGCGAAGGCAGCUUCCCAGGCUCGAUCUGACGCUGAUGCGCGAGAGCGUGGGUAGCGAACAGG